CCCAUUUCUAGCACCCUGAAGAUGGUGAAAUGAUGCUGUUUACAAAAAAGUGGUCUCGCUGUCACACAAAUCCUAUACAGUGUCAGGUGGAAAACCAUCAAGAUGUACUGGAACAAUGAGUGAGAUUGCAUCACAAGUAAGGUGCAAAGCCUCGACUCAACUUGUGACAUAAUACAUGGUUAUGUCCCAGUACGCCAUGUCAGUGAACCAGCAUGUAUGAAACCAGAGCCCCAGAACUGACACUCCAAAAUCGAAUGCAGCCAUCUUUAAUAUUAUUAAUGACACCUGUGCUUGUAAUGCUAUGAUAAGUCCAAAUAUCUGCAGUAAAAACUUGACAAACUUGAAUGAACAAAGUUAAAAAUACAAAGGUGCACACAUCUUUUUUUGUUGUUAAUGUAUUUGCAAGUAAUGUAUUAAUGACAAAUGCUGUUGUCCAGUUUCUUUUCAUGCAACAUUGUUCUGCUGUUGAAGUGUGUUAAAACAUGCAUUAUAGUUUGAUUAUGGGAGUCUAUAGUGGGUGUCUUUUUAACAGUUGUUACAUGUACAUUUGCAUGAAUCCCUUGGACUAGCUGAAAGAGACAGAGCUGAAAUGAUUAGUGGAUAUGUUGAUUUACAGAAAAUUAAUCAGCAACUGUUUUGAUAAUCCAUCAUCU